AGAGUUUGAUCCUGGCUCAGGACGAACGCUGGCAGCACGCUUAACACAUGCAAGUCGAACGAGAGAAGAGGAGCUUGCUUUUCUGAUCUAGUGGCGGACGGGUGAGUAACACGUGAGCAAUCUGCCUUUCAGAGGGGGAUACCGAUUGGAAACGAUCGUUAAUACCGCAUAACAUAAUUGAACCGCACGAUUUGAUUAUCAAAGAUUUAUCGCUGAAAGAUGAGCUCGCGUCUGAUUAGCUAGUUGGUAAGGUAACGGCUUACCAAGGCGACGAUCAGUAGCCGGACUGAGAGGUUGAUCGGCCACAUUGGGACUGAGACACGGCCCAGACUCCUACGGGAGGCAGCAGUGGGGAAUAUUGCACAAUGGAGGAAACUCUGAUGCAGCGAUGCCGCGUGAGGGAAGAAGGUUUUAGGAUUGUAAACCUCUGUCUUCAGGGACGAAAAAAGACGGUACCUGAGGAGGAAGCUCCGGCUAACUACGUGCCAGCAGCCGCGGUAAUACGUAGGGAGCGAGCGUUGUCCGGAAUUACUGGGUGUAAAGGGAGCGUAGGCGGGAUCGCAAGUCAGAUGUGAAAACUAUGGGCUUAACCCAUAAACUGCAUUUGAAACUGUGGUUCUUGAGUGAAGUAGAGGUAAGCGGAAUUCCUAGUGUAGCGGUGAAAUGCGUAGAUAUUAGGAGGAACAUCAGUGGCGAAGGCGGCUUACUGGGCUUUAACUGACGCUGAGGCUCGAAAGCGUGGGGAGCAAACAGGAUUAGAUACCCUGGCAGUCCACGCCGUAAACGAUGAUUACUAGGUGUGGGGGGACUGACCCCUUCCGUGCCGCAGCAAACGCAAUAAGUAAUCCACCUGGGGAGUACGACCGCAAGGUUGAAACUCAAAGGAAUUGACGGGGGCCCGCACAAGCAGUGGAGUAUGUGGAUUAAUUCGAAGCAACGCGAAGAACCUUACCAAGUCUUGACAUCGUAUGCAUAGCUCAGAGAUGAGUGAAAUCUCUUCGGAGACAUAUAGACAGGUGGUGCAUGGUUGUCGUCAGCUCGUGUCGUGAGAUGUUGGGUUAAGUCCCGCAACGAGCGCAACCCUUACUGUUAGUUGCUACGCAAGAGCACUCUAGCAGGACUGCCGUUGACAAAACGGAGGAAGGUGGGGAUGACGUCAAAUCAUCAUGCCCCUUAUGACCUGGGCCUCACACGUACUACAAUGGCUGUCAACAGAGGGAAGCAAAGCCGCGAGGUGGAGCGAACCCCUAAAAGCAGUCUUAGUUCGGAUUGUAGGCUGCAACCCGCCUACAUGAAGUCGGAAUUGCUAGUAAUCGCAGAUCAGCAUGCUGCGGUGAAUACGUUCCCGGGCCUUGUACACACCGCCCGUCACGCCAUGGGAGUCGGUAACACCCGAAGCCUGUAGUCUAACCGCAAGGAGGACGCAGUCGAAGGUGGGAUUGAUGACUGGGGUGAAGUCGUAACAAGGUA
rnacentral:rRNA from 1 species